UUCAACUUCCGGCGAAAAACGCCGCUUAUGGCGGCAACACUGUUUUCCGUCGCCGACGUCGAAGUGGCGGACGACGGCGGUGGUGAUUCGGGGUCAAUCGCAGGUUCGGAUCCUAUCUCGGUUCAGACUUAACUCGGGUUCAGGCUUAGCGGGAGGUUGCGGGUCUCGAUACUCGGGUCAGAAGGUGUCCAGGUCGAUGAUGAUGAUGGUCGGGUUCUGACGGCACCGGGUCAGCGUGGUCGUCUCGGUUCCGUCAACAGCAGUCAAACUCAGUCAUUGGUUCGGGUUCGCUAUGGUUCGGGUCGGUAUCGGUUCGGUCAAACUAGUUAGCUGGUCAACACGGGUUACUCGCGAGAUACGGGUGACCUCGGUGUUCCAUCCUCCUAAUCUCAUACACUCGU